GGAACUCGCUGUGCUGAUCCUGCAUUGCCUUUUAUAAGGUUGCAUUCUUUUCCACUUCAUUCCUCCCAACAGGAUAUAGUAAAACGUAAUCAUGGGAGAGAUGAUUGGUGGGCAGGGUCUGCUCCUUCAGGACCUUUUAUUUACACACCUUUCAGCAAAGGGGAGCCAAGUCAAAGCAGUAAGCAGGAGCUGAUUUGGGUUGUGGGUGAAGCAGUACAAGUGUUUGUUGAGUUGGCAAAUCCUUGUGGUUUUGAUUUGAAGGUCGAUAGUAUAUAUCUAUCUGUAAAUUCUGGGAAUUUUGAUGCUUUUCCCAUCAGUGUUAGUCUGCCUCCUAAUUCCUCCAAAGUGAUUGCAUUAUCUGGAAUUCCUACUGAAGUAGGUUCAUUAAAAAUUCCAGGAUGCAUUGUUCAUUGUUUUGGUGUUAUCACUGAACAUUAUUUUAAGGAUGUGGAUAAUCUUCUAGUGGGAGCAGCUCAAGGACUUGUGCUGUCUGACCCUUUCCGCUGUUGUGGGUCACCAAAGUUGAAAAAUGUUACGAUUCCAAAUAUUUCGGUGGUCCCCCCGUUGCCAUUGCUUAUAUCACGUGUUGUGGGUAGUGAUGGUGCUAUAAUUUUAUAUGAAGGAGAGAUUCGUGAAGUACAGAUAAGUGUGGCCAAUGCAGGUACAGUUCCGAUAGAGCAAGCCCACAUCUCAUUAUCUGGGAAAAAUCAAGAUUCAAUCCAGUUAAUUGUUUAUGAAACCUUGAAGUCAUCCCUUCCUUUGAAGCCCGGUGCUGAAGUGAGAAUACCUGUCACUUUAAAGACUUGGCAGCUUGGACUUUUGGAUCCGGAUGCUGCUCCUAGUAAGAACAUAUCUGGAAGCACCGGGAGGCAAGUCAAGGAUGGAUGCAGUCCUGUGCUGCUGAUCCACUAUGCGGGUCCACUUACUUAUGCUGGAGAUGCAUCAAUAAAUGGAUCUAUUCCUCCCGGUAGGCGAUUGGUUGUUCCCCUUAAUAUAUGUGUUUCACAGGGGUUAUCUCUUAUGAAGGCUCGUUUGUUAUCAAUGGAGAUCCCUGCUCAUGUUGGUGAGGAUCAUUCAAAUGUUCAAGUGGAAACCAGUUCUGCUGAAGAAUCCCCUCGUACUGAUAGGUUCAUGAAAAUUGAUCCUUACAGAGGAAGUUGGGGCCUGCGUUUCCUCGAGCUUGAGUUAUCCAAUCCGACUGAUGUUGUCUUCGAGAUUGGCGUGUCUGUCAAUAUGGAGGAUUCUAACAAUGAGGAGAAUCCUGAGUAUGACUAUCCUAAAACAAGGAUUGACAGAGAUUACACUGCCAGGGUGCUAAUACCAUUAGAACAUUUUAAGUUACCUGUUCUUGAUGGUACUUACCUGGUUAAGGAGUCUCAAAUGGAUAGGACCAGUACUAGAAAAUCAAGCUUCUCUGAGAAAAGUAGCAAA
rnacentral:misc_RNA from 1 species